UAUUUAUUUAAUUGUAUACAUUUUAAUAUCUUCAAUAUUAAUUAAAUUGAUCACAUUGCAUUUUGGUUGCUUCUUCUUCUUUAAAGAUCUACGAGAUUGUAUUUUAAACCAUUAUUUUUGGUUCUUCCUGCUUGUUACUACAUGAAUAAAAUAUUAUAUUUAUCCGUCCAUGAUCACCCAUGUCUGCUUUCUUAAGCUCCCUCUCUUCCUGCAUUAUCUCGUCAAUCUCUCCAAAAUGGAAAAGCCCCUCAAUUCAGUGACUUGUUUACGUGCAACUCAGCUUCUGUUUAUAAUCUGUGUUUUCUUCACGUCCGCAUAGCCGUGCGCCGUAGCUGUUGCUACACAGGAGCUUCUUGUAGGCUUCAGAGCCACGCCUAACCCUUCAGUCUCGUCAUUUCAAUCUCUCCUAAACGACUCAACAAGCAAUUUCUCCCUCGGUUAUUCACCUCCCUUCUCAGCAACCACUAUGGCACUGGCAGGUUAAUCCAACAGGAUUGGCUCACUGUUCAGACAGUACUCAGCUCUUCUUCAAUGGAAUUCUUGUAAUAUCCGAUCCACACUCGGGGUUAUUCUGGUCAAGUGGAACCCAAGGUGACAAAGUUGUUCUUCUCAACACUUCAAAUCUUCAAAUACUCAAGCUGCAAGAAGCCUCUCACUCGGUCCUCUGGCAAAGUUUCUAUUUUCCCACAGAUUAGCCUCGUCGAGAACCAGAAUUUAACUUCUAAUGUGUCCCUUGUUUCAUCAAAUGGGCUUCACUCUCUGCGCUUAGGAGACAAUUUCGUGGCUCUAUACGCUAAGUUCGAAGAAACACAGAGCAAAUGCAUUGGAAACGCAAAGCGCUGGAAGCCAGAGCAGUUAUAGUUGAAGGACAAGGUCCGAUUCUUGCACGGGUCGAAUCGAG
rnacentral:misc_RNA from 1 species